AUGGAGGUGGCCGUCAGCGCAGCACGGUGGGUGGUGACCAAGGCGCUUGCCCCGGUGACAGAUGGCCUGCUGGAGGCGUGGGCGGCCAGCGCUGGGCUCGGCCCCAACAUUGAUGCCCUCAAGAUGCAGCUGCUCUAUGCCCAGGGGAUGCUCAACAACGCCCCGGGGCAAGGCAGGGACAUCACCAACCCUGCGCUCAAGGGGCUGCUGCACAAGCUGCGGCAGCUGGCCUACGUCGCCGACGACGCGCUCGACGAGCUGGACUACUUCCGCAUCCAGGACGCGCUGGAAGGCACCUACCACGCAGCAGCCGGCGUGGAUGACCUGGGCUGCCUCCAGGCCCUCGCCCUCAACGCUCGCCACACGGCUAGAUAUGUUGCCGGGAAGAUCAAGUCCAUGAGCUCCUGCUCGCGUGCUGCUAGCCCACUUGAUGCCCAAGAAGAUAUUGGUGGGAGCCGUGGAUGCUCAUGUGCCGGCGGAUGCAGCAUGCCCAAGGUUGCCUCUGGUGCUGUUCAAGCUGCUGUUGGUAAACACUUCCCGUGCUGCUACUCUUCUCCUCAUACCAGUGAGUUAGUCGAAUCGUCCAACGUGCCAGCUGCAAGCAAAUGGUGGCUCCUCUGUGGCGCCUGCCCACCUAAGGCACCGACACAGAGAGUUGGCACCACAGAGGAAACACCAAAACUGAAAUUUGAUAGGGUGGAAAUGUCCAAGAGAAUGAUAGACAUCGUAGAGCAGCUGAAGCAUGUAUGUGCUAUGGUCUCCACCAUUCUCAAUCUAGAGCUACUAAGCUUAAGCCGUAUUCCUAACCCAGACGUGAUUUCUAAGGAUCGACCCAAAACAACCCCACAAAUUAUAGAGCCCCAACUAUAUGGGAGGGAUGCCCAGAAGAAAAUUGUAGAUGGCAUCACCAGGGGUGAAUAUUCUUCCGAACAACUUACUGUCCUUCCAAUUGUUGGGCCAGGGGGUGUUGGGAAGACUACCUUUACACAACACAUAUUUGAAGAAGUGAAGAGCUGUUUCCAGGUUAGAAUUUGGAUAUGUGUGUCUCUCAACUUCACUGCUGAUAGGUUGGCACAAGAGAUUUUGGAACAGAUCCCUAAAGAUAACAGUGAAAGUAAAAACAGUAGCAAGGAAGAGCUAAUUGAACAAAGGUUAAGAUCAAAGAGGUUCUUACUUGUCUUGGAUGAUGUGUGGAAAUAUCAUGACGAUGAGUGGAAAAAACUAUUAGCUCCGUUCAAAAAAGUUGGGACAGAAGGCAAUAUGGUUAUAGUCACAACUCGAAUUCCAGGGGUAGCAAACAUGGUCAGGACAGUUGACCAUUCUAUAGAAAUGGAACAUCUAGGUCCUCAAGAUAUUAUGUCUUUAUUUGAAGCAUAUGUAUUUGGGGACCAACAACAACCAUGGCAAGAACAUUAUGAAUUACAUGAUGUUGGGCUCAAAAUAGUGAAAAAUUUGAAGGGUUCCCCUCUUGCUGCAAAAACUGUGGGUAGAUUGCUGAGAAACCAACUUACACGUGACCAUUGGACAAGAGUUUCAGAAAGUAAAGAGUGGGAGUCACAAGUUAGUGACAAUGACAUUAUGCCAGCUCUCAAGCUUAGCUAUGAUUAUCUCCCUUUUCAUUUGCAACAAUGUCUUUCCUGUUGUGCAUUGUUUCCCGAAGAUUAUGAAUUUCAUGCAGAAGAGUUGGUUCAUCUGUGGAUUGGACUUGGUAUUUUACACUCAGAUGAUCAGAAGAAAAGAAUUGAAGAUGUUGGAUUGUGUUACCUAACUGACUUGGUUAAUCAAGGGUUUUUCAAAAAGAAUGUAUCGAGCUUUGGCAGUCCUUGUUACACCAUCCAUGAUCUACUACUUGAGUUGGUAGUGAAGGUCUCAUCAUAUGAGUGUCUUAGCAUAUCCAGCUCUAAUGUGAUGUCCAUACAAAUUCCCCCAUCUGUACGUCAUUUGUCUAUCAUUGUAGAUGAUGCGGACGUCAAGGACAAAGUGACUUUUGAAGACUACAAGAGGGGUUUGCGUGCAUUGGAAAAAAGAUUUGAAGUUCAAAACCUACAAACUUUGAUGUUAUUUGGAGAAUACCAUGCAAAUUUUUCAAGGGUUUUUCGUGGUUUAUUUUUUGAAGCCAGAGCCCUUCGUACUGUCUUUUUUUCUGGAGCAUCAUAUAAUGUGGAGGAUGUAUUGCCCAACUUUCCAAAGCUUGUUCAUCUUCGCUACUUAAGGAUCAAGUCAUCAGCUGGUUUUUAUGAUGACAAGAGCUUGUGUGUACCUAGUGUGCUGUGUAGAUUAUAUCACUUGGAAGUCAUUGAUCUACUAGGAUGGAAGGGCCGCUUCGGUUCAACAAGAUAUAUGAGCAACCUUGUAAAAUUGCGCCAUUUUGUUGUGCCCCGAGAAGAACUUCACUCUGACAUAUUUGAGGUGGGAAAACUAAACUUCAUCAAUGAAUUAAGGGCAUUUAGAGUGAGAAAAGAAAGUGAGGUGUUUGAACUGAGUCAACUAGGGAAACUAGGAAAUAUUGGAGGAUUACUUGGUAUUUACAAUCUUGAAAAGGUGCAAUCAGAAGAAGAAGCAACUGAAUCAAAACUGAUACAGAAAAGCCACAUGCAAGAGCUAAUACUAGGAUGGGAUGUUCACAGAUCUAACAGGAAUCCAACGUUUGAAGAAAAUGUGCUUGAAAAUCUUGUGCCACACAGAAAUCUUCAAUGCCUACGCAUUAGAGGGCAUGGCGGCACUAAUUGUCCAAGAUGGCUAAGUUCAAACCUCUCCGUCAAGAAUCUGGAGUCUCUUUCUCUGGAUGAUUUGUCUUGGGGAAACCUUCCACCUUUAGGAGAGAUGUGGAUGGUCAAUGGUCUUGGCCUAGAGUAUCAGAACUGUAACCUAGGCCAAAGAUUUCAAAAUUUGAAAAGGCUAGAAUUGGUUAAGAUACCAAGAUUGAGAAAAUGGGUUUGGGACAAUACUUCUCAUUUAUUCUCUCAACUAGAAGAACUCACUAUUAAAGAUUGCUCUGAACUCACUGAGCUGCGAUCUUCACAUCAUAGUUGUGAUCAGCCACAGCAAGAGAAGAGCAUGGCUUGGUUUUGUAGACUUAGGUCUCUCAGGAUAAAAGACUGCCCAAAGCUAUUGUCAUUUCCUCCAAUCCCUUGGACUUCUGGCCCUUGCUCUGCUGUGAUAGAACAGGUGGGCAACGGUCUUGAGAAGCUAGUUUACAUAGAAGAGAACGGAUCCGAAUCAACUUAUUCGCUGGAAGUGGAGGGAAAGGAUGGCCAGGAUUGUGUGUUCUUGAAUAAGUUGGUUUUCUCUAAUCUAACUUAUCUGAAAAAGAUAAGUGUCGAGCGAUGUGGUUGCAAUAGUAAGGAAUUGACACAACUGCUCUCACUUGUGCCGGAACUCACCCAAAUGAAAAUAGUGGGUUGUGAGGAGAUAAAAUGGCUGGGUGUGGCGGAGCAAUCAUCAACAUCUUCUUCUGCCGCUGCUGCUGAAAAAUUGUAUCAUGGGCAAAUCGGCCAGCAGCAGCGAGAGUCAAAAGGGGGAGUAGACGGAGUGCUGCUCUUGACUCCCCAGCUACAGAAGUUAACCAUCGAAGGGUUCCCAGAGCUGAGCUUGCUCUCCUAUUCACUGGAAGGUGACAGGGAAGGAGGUGGGCUCCAAGGUCUCCGCUCCCUCCAAUCAUUGAAAAUAAGGAACUGCCCCAUGUUACUCCACUCCUAUUCAAUCUCUUCUAUUCCUUUUCUGACCUCUCUGCAAGAAUUAAUGUUGAUGGAUUGUGGGGAGUUCAGAGGCGAGGGCAUAGGCCCUCUCCUCGCCCAAUGCCACCUUACAAAGUUAUCCAUCUUUAAAACCCCCAACUUCUUCGCUGGUUCUGAGCCACUUGACAAGGAGCUUCUUCCCCGCUCCUCUGCACAUCAGGAGCUUGAUCUGAGGACAGAUGAUAUUGCAGGGUUCCUUGCUGCUCAUAGGUGCAGCCUUCUCUCUUCCUCCCUCACCACCCUAACUAUUGGUUCGAACGAAGAUGCCGAGCGCUUCACACACGAGCAAGCGGAGGCCCUUGUGCUCCUCACCUCCCUCCAUACGCUCGUGUUUAUUUAUUGCGAGAAGCUGCAGUGCCUCCCGGCAGGUCUAAAUAGACUUGCCAGCCUCGAGACAUUACAGAUAGUGGAGUGUCAAGUCAUUCGGUCAUUGCCAGAGGACGGCCUCCCGAGUUCUCUGCAAAAAUUGGAUAUCAGCAGAUGUCCUGCCAUCAAGUCGCUACCCAAGGGCAGCCUCCCAAGUUCGCCGCAAUUAUUAGUUAUCUACAAGUGCCCUGCUCUGAUGUCUCUGCCCAAAAACGGCCUCCCAAGCUCACUACAAAAUCUGGUAAUCUGGGACUGCCCCGCCUUAAAGUCGCUGCCGGAGGAUGGCCUCCCAAGAUCUCUGCAGGAACUACAGAUCGCUGGCUGCCCUGCCCUGGUGUCUCUGCCCAAAAACGGCCUCCCAAGCUCUCUGCAAAAAUUUGUAAUCUGGAACUGCCCCACCUUAAAGUGGCUACCGGAGGAUGGCCUCCCAAGAUCUCUGCAGGAACUACAGAUCGGCGCGAGUACAGUAAUCACUUCACUACCCAAGGGCGGCCUCCCAAAAUCACUGCAAGUAUUAGAUGUCUGUACGUGUGACAACGAGGAGCUAAAGAGGCAGUGCCUCAAGUUAAGAGGAACUAUCCCCAAGAUCAUAAUUUAA
rnacentral:rRNA from 1 species